AGCUCAAUGCAAUCAAGUUGGUUUUAUACGCUAUUCUGAUUGGAGUGUUUUUUUAUUAGGACUUAUGAGAGCU
rfam:Oryza rufipogon genomic scaffold, chr08